AUGGAGAAAGCCAUGGACGCAGGGCGGCAGAGCGAGGUGACCUGCGUGGACUUCUGGGCCAACGAGUUCGGCAUGCGGGUGCGGAUCGCGCUGCGUGAGCUAGGCGUGGCGUUCGAGUACGUCGAGGAGGACCUCCGCGUCCGCGAGAGGAGCGAACUGGUGCGGCGCAUGAACCCCGUCCACCGCUCGAUCCCCAUCCUCAUCCACCAUGGCCUUCCGGUCUGCGGCUCCGUCAACAUCAUCGAGUACAUCGACGAGGGCUGGGGUGAGGCCCGUUUGCUCCCCGGCAACCCAGUCGACAGGGCUGACGCUAGGUUCUGGGCUGACUUCGUUGACCACAAGGUGUUCGGCGCCCAAGUAAGGUUUCUCGAGAGCAAGGGCGAGGAGAAAGAUGAGUUGGUCGAGCAACUCAAACGCCUAGAGGAGGUGCUCGGGGACAAGGGCUUCUUUUCUGGCGACGACUUCGGAUUCUUAGACAUCGUUACUAUCCCAUUUUCAAGCAUGUUUCAUGGGUACGAGCAGCUUGGACGGUUUGACCUUGACGUGGAGUGCCCCAAGCUCACGCAGUGGGCAAAGAGGUGCAAGCAAAGGGAGAGUGUAAGAGCGGUUCUUCCGGAUGACACAGAGAUGUACGAAUUACACAAGCACUUGUACGGUAUUGAGUAG
rnacentral:rRNA from 1 species